rnacentral:rRNA from 1 species
AUUGAACGCUGGCGGCAGGCCUAACACAUGCAAGUCGAACGGGGAAAGCUUUCGGGUGAGUACUAGUGGCGCACGGGUGAGUAACGCGCGGAUAAUCUGCCUUAGAGUGGGGGAUAACUAGUCGAAAGAUUAGCUAAUACCGCAUAAGACCACAGGAGCUGCGGCUCCAGGGGUCAAAGGUUCUUCGCUUUAAGAUGAGUCCGCGUAAGAUUAGCUAAUUGGUGAGGUAACGGCUCACCAAGGCGACGAGCUUUAACUGGUCUGAGAGGAUGAUCAGUCACACUGGAACUGGGACACGGUCCAGACUCCUACGGGAGGCAGCAGUAGGGAAUAUUGCACAAUGGAGGAAGCUCUGAUUCAGCGACGCCGCGUGAGUGAUGAAGUCCUUCGGGUCGUAAAGCUCUGUCGCAGGGGAAUAACACAAUGAAGGUACCCUGUAAGAAAGGAUCGGCUAACUUCGUGCCAGCCGCCGCCGUAAUAC